AAUGAACGUUGGCGGCGUGGAUUAGGCAUGCAAGUCGAGCGAGAACCGUAGCAAUACGGGGACAGCGGCGAAAGGGAGAGUAAUACGUGGAUACCUACCCUCGGGUUCGGGAUAGCUGCGGGAAACUGCAGGUAAUACCGAAUAACAUCUCCGGAUCAAAGGUGUGAUUCCGCCCGGGGAGGGGUCCGCGUCCUAUUAGCUUGUUGGUGAGGUAACGGCUCACCAAGGCGAAGAUGGGUACGGGGUGUGAGAGCAUGCCCCCGCUCACUGGGACUGAGACACUGCCCAGACACCCACGGGUGGCUGCAGUCGAGAAUCUUCGGCAAUGGGCGCAAGCCUGACCGAGCGACGCCGCGUGCGAGAUGAAGGCCUUCGGGUUGUAAAUCGCUGUCAGUGGGGAGGAAAUGCCAUAGGGUUCUCUCAAUGGUUUGACCUAUCCGCAGAGGAAGGAUGGGCUAAGUUCGUGCCAGCAGCCGCAGUAA
rnacentral:rRNA from 1 species